CGAACCCAGGAGACUCUGAGGAGCUUCAGAACCAUCCAGAACCUGAGUGGGAGCGUGGCCUCGGCGCCGGUGCUGCUGCAGAGGGCGGAGCAGGUGGUGGAGCUGCUGCAGGACUUCAGAACCACGGCCCGGUCCGAAUGGAGCGCCAGGCUGGAGGAGGACUGCAGUUCCGUCCUGAACCAGAAGCUGGUCCAGAUCGACCCGCCGACCCACCUGAAGGUGGCCGGCAGGAAGCAGCUGGAGGUGGUGCUGCAGCAGCUGCGCUACGUGAGCAGAGAGGGCGGCGUGGCGCUGCGCCCCGACGCAGACCGCCUCCUGCUGGCCAG